GAGCCUGGCCAAGCUGCACGGGGCAUCGGCGGGCGCGCCCCACUCGGCCCAGACGCAUCCCCACCACCAUCACCACCCUCACCACCACCACCACCACCACCCCCCGCAGCCGCCGUCGCCGCUUCUGCUGCUGCCCCCGCAGCCCGACGAGCAGGGUUCCGAGCGCCACCACCCGGCCCCGCCGCCGCCGCCGCCCCCGCGGCCCCCUCUGGCCCCGCACCCGCACCACCGAGGCCUUCUGUCUCCCGGGGGAACCAGCUGCAGCUACCCCAGCGAGGACAGCUCCGAGGACGAGGACGACGAGGAAGAAGAGCAGGAGGUGGACGUGGAGGGCCACAAGCCCCCCGAGGGCGAGGAAGAGGAGGAAGGUCGAGACCCUGACGACGACGAGGAAGAGGACGAGGAGACGGAGGUCCUACUCGGCGACCCCUUAGUCGGGGGCGGCCGGUUCCUGCAGGGCCGAGGGCCGUCGGAGAAGGGGAGCAGCCGGGACCGCGCGCCGGCCGUCGCGGGCGCGUUCCCGCUCGGCCUGAACUCCUCCAGGCUGCUGCAGGAAGACGGGAAACUCGGGGACCCCGGCUCGGACCUGCCCCCGCCCCCGCCGCCGCCCCUGGCCCCCCAGAAGGCGAGUGGCGGCGGCAGCAGCAGCCCGGGCAGCCCAGUUCACCAUCCAUCACUGGAGGAGCAGCCCUCCUACAAAGAUAGUCAGAAAACUAAGGAAAAUAACCAAGUAAUUGUAUCUACAAAGGAUGACAACAGCUUUUCAGAUAAGAACAAGGAGCAUAGCUUUUUCAUCACAGACUCUGAUGCUUCUGGAGGAGAUUUUUGGAGAGAAAGAUCAGGUGAACAUACACAAGAAACCAACUCACCUCAUUCACUGAAAAAGGAUGUAGAAAAUAUGGGGAAAGAAGAACUUCAGAAGGUUUUAUUUGAACAAAUAGAUUUACGGAGACGACUGGAACAAGAAUUCCAGGUGUUAAAAGGAAACACGUCUUUCCCAGUAUUCAAUAAUUUUCAGGAUCAGAUGAAAAGGGAGCUAGCCUACCGAGAAGAAAUGGUGCAACAGUUACAAAUUAUCCCCUAUGCAGCAAGCUUGAUCAGGAAAGAAAAGCUGGGCGCCCAUCUCAGCAAAAGCUAAAAGGUGCACAGAACUACUUACUCUUGUUCUCUUGUAAGAUACAGCCUGCCAUGGAGCACUUCUGACCCGCUUUAAAGACUGCAGAUCGAAAGGGCUUGGGAAUUAAAUACAAAAUCAGGUUCAGGAGAACCUAAGGACAAGUGACCUCAAAACAGCAUGGACAACCAUGUAAAAUAGACUGUAGCAGCCAUUCAUUAGUGGGGGGAGGGGGGAGCCAACCAGAGCAGUCAAUGCUUGUUGCAUCUUUUGGUGGAACCAAAGUUCGAGUCUUUGUGUUUUUAAAGGACAGCUGAACCCAGAGCAUGGGAAGUGCUGUUAGCCAGUUGGGAUGGGAAAUCAGCGGAUGGUCCCAGGCAGUCUCAGUCCUGCACACAUGGAGAAAGCAACUCUACAAAACUGUCUUUUCUUUUUGAAGAAGUGAUUCUUGGUGGAAGAAAACACAAGACCCAUCCUAGGAGUGGGGAUCGCGUUUCAAUGGAUGGGAAGGCACCAGCCGUACAAACCUGCUUUUCAUAGCAAACUGGACAGACUUACACGUGGCCCCUUCCUCUCUGUACUUUGCCUGCUGUUUGAAUGAAGAUUGUAUUCCUUUGGAAAUAUUUUACAGUUUAAUAUUGAGUGUAAUUAAGAAUAUAAUCAUGUUAUCAAAAAUGGCAUUUAACUCUGUUGUAGUUUCUUUAACAUUCAUGUGGAUAAAAAAGUCUAUAAUAAAAAAACUAUGAAG
ensembl:lincRNA